AUCUAAAUGAUUAAGCCAAGUUACAAUGAACUGUGUCAACUCUAUAUAUAGAGUGACUAACAGAAAACUGACUCAAACAGUUACUAACUAUGGUUAAUAACUUCUAGCUAGCUUUUUGUUUUACAUAUAUAACUAAAGAAUCUUGUUUUGUUCUAUUAUUUGUUAUUUAUAAUAUUCUAAUGAAUCUUUAUUUUCCUUUUUAUUAUUAGUUAUUAGAAUAUUUUUUAUUAUUAGAAAGAAUAAAUAGAAUUGGCAAAAAUAAAAAAAAAAUUCAAUAAAAUCAAAAUUAUCACGGGCGAAUAUUUACUCUUUUAUUAUCAAUCAAAUUCAGAUGUAAUGUAGGGCACAACUCCUAAAAAAAGGAUUGCUUUUUGGUUUCUUCCGCCAUCCCACCUAAUGAAUCAUUAAGAUUUGUUUUUAAUAAAAUCUUAAGUAUUUGCAGGUUUCGUCGUUCCCAUCACUUCUCGAUUAAUGGUUAGGUCUGAAUUCGACAAUGGAGCCUUUCUCAUAUCUUAAAAUUAAUAAUCUUUUUUUUUUCGAAUAUUGAUUUGUUUUUUCGUGAAUCAAUAUUCUCAGUUUUUAUUGAUUCAGAGCUCUUAAUUUGUUUACGUUAUAAAUUAAUUCAUAUAUAAAUAGUUGUGUCUUGGUGACUUGUUGGUCAUGGGUUCGAAUCCGGAAACAGCCUCUUUGCAUAUGCAAGGGUAAGGCUGCGUACAAUAUCCCUCCCCCAUACCUUCGCAUAGCGAAGAGCCUCUGGACAAUGGGAUACGAAGUUUUUAUAAAUAGAUAUGAAUUGAUUUAGAUUGAUGCUUUAUUACACUACCUGACAGCUCACUGACAGUUAACUGACAGCUUGCAGUUGACAACUAUGACUAAGUAAAAAUCAUUACACUUAGUGGGAAUAAGAAUACUCUAACAAUUACUGAUCACAUGUGAUACAAAGAAACUGAUCUAUUUUUAGUAUCCACUUAUAAUAGAAACCCUAAACAUUAUUUUUUUUUUUAAAUUAGUGCCCUAAAACCUUUUUUCCUGUUUUUGGUUUUACAGGAAAAAGAAUUAGCCCAAGUAAGGGCGAAGUACUCAUGCUGCAAACACCAGAAGAAAAAUAAAGGGUGUACCUUAAGAAAAGAAUUGGCACUCAUUGUUGAUGGCAUGAGUCCCAUAAUGAAUGAGAUAACCAUCAGUAUCAAUCCAGAGAAAAAGUGGAUCAAGAGAACCACAUUCUGUAAGACAAGUGAAUAUCUUAGUAUUUAUAAUAGUGAUAGCUAACAAAUAAGAAAACAAGGUCUCCUCAUACCUGCGCCAUGGUAUGGUCAAAAAAGAAAAAUGUAAGGCAAUAAGUUGAUGAUGCGAUUGCAAGUCCAUAUUCCAAAAGCAUGAGGAUUGUUGGUAACAAAGAAACCCCUCCAACAAACUGAUCCAGACCUACAAUAAGAUUCAAUAAACAAUAAUUAGCAUUGAAAACAAUGCUACUGUAAGACAGAAACCCCAAGGGGGGUAAUGCUUGGGAGUAUUGUGGUGAAUCAGGAAUCAUAUUAUGAUCACUAUUAUCAGUAUAUGUCAUUGUAUAAUUGUGAAAACAGUUUUGUAUUUUGUUUGUAAGGGCUGUUAGCCUUUGCUAACAGCACCCAUUCUGUAAUGAGUAACCACUGUAAGGGCUGUUAGCUUUUGCUAACAGCACCCAUUUCGUGUUAGUUAGUACUUCAGGGAGUACAAGGGUUUUUCUAACUGCAACCUAUCCCAUAUUCUACUAGAGGUGGCACACUGCUAAUGUCUGUCAUUUUUUCAGAACUGAUAUCAGUUUUCAGCCAUGAGUCCCUAACCUUUUCUGAUCCCACCACGCUGCAACCUAUCCCAUAUUCUACUGGUUCAACCAGAUCCUCCAAUACUUGGGGUUAAUCCCAAUGCUAAGUCCACUGUUCCUAGUCCCAGUCAGCCCAAUGCCAUGCUCACAAACUCCUCCUCUCAUGGUAAUGAUGCAUCUGGCUCCACUUGGAUACUAGAUUCUAGAGCCAGUUUUCAUGUUACUGGUGACUCUCAAAAUAAUAUACAAUUUACUCAUUUUGAUAGACCUAAGCAGAUUUUCAUAGGCAAUGGUAAAGGUUUAAGUAUCUCCAACUCCGAUUCCUCAAUUUUUGUUUCUCCUAAUGACACUGCCAUAACCUUUAAGCUUCAUAAGUUGUUACAUGUUCCUUCAAUUUCGAAAAAUCAGUUAAGUGUGAGUCAAUUUGCCUAAGACAACUCUGUUUCACCCUCAUUUGUAUCUUGUGAAAUCUCAGGAGACCAAUAAAAUUCUUCUACAAGGAGUGGUUGGUGUUGAUGGACUCUAUUCUUUUCACAACCUCAAGCUUCAAGGCAAUCCUUCUCUGCUGAUGUCCACUUCUGCUUCUGUUCCAAAUGCUAAGUUUCCUACUUCAGCUGCUACUGUCAAUCAUACCUCUAAUAUUGUUUCAAAUUCUGGUGUUACCUCUUCCACUAGUCUUAAUCUUUGGCAUGCUAGGUUAUGACAUCCUAAUGAUCAUGUAAUGAAAAUUGUUCUCAAACAGUGUAAUAUUUCUCAACUGAAUAAAAACAUCACCGAGUUUUGUUCUUCUUGUUGGAUGGGUAAAGCUCAUAGGUUACCCUCUCACAGCUCAACAGGCUUCCCACUCCCUCUCUCAAGUUUGUUGUUCCUUUUGUUACUUUGUUUAAUAAAGAGUCUGAUUAUCAUUUUCUUAAAACUUUUAGGUGUGCCUGUUUUCCUUUACUAAGGCCAUAUCAUACACACAAGCUCAAUUUUCGGUCUCAAGAGUGUUUGAUUCUGGGUUAUUCCUUAUCUCACAAGGGUUACAAGUGCUUGUCAUCCUCUGGUAGAAUUUACAUAUCUAAGGAUGUUCUGUUAAUGAGUUGAGAUUUCCCUAUGCUGAUCUUUUUCCUUCUUCCACUAAUUCCACAAAAAAUGUUGAUUCUUAUUUUAGCCUAAGUCCUAACCUUUCUCCACCUUUUGUUGCCUCUAUUCUAUCAAUAAGAUUGAUAAGCAGAUUAUUUGUCAUUAUUUGUGCAGAUUUAUUGGCCCUUUAAAUUAGCAUAUCUUGUAUGAUUGUUUAGCUAUAAUUGUGUAAUUAUAUCCUUAAUUACUUAGCCCAGCUGUAGGUUACCAUAUAUAAUUUUUUAGCAAAUUUCAAGGUUAGAUAUCAGAUUGUAUCAUAUUAUUUAAAUGAGAAUUCUCUAGAGGAGAGGACACAGUUUUCAUCCUAAUUUCUGAGUUUAACAUGGUAUCAAAACCUAUAGCCCAUCUUAGUUCUUGCCUAUUCUAGUAAGCUCGCCUGUAUUGGUAGGCAUCUGUGGAGGGGGGUGUUAGGAAGUCCCACAUCGUCUGCCUCAGUUCUUGAGGUGCAGCUUAUAUAUCUGUUGGACAACUUAGUGCCAAAUGGUUUUAAGUUGAAAUCUAACAGUUCAAGCACUCUAUGAUGCUGAUUGGGCGUCUCAUGUGAAUGACAAGCGCUCCACCUCAAGGACUGCCAUUUUUUCUUGGUCCAAACUUAGUCUCUUGGUGGUCUCACAAGCAAAAGGUUACUGUCAGGUCUAGUACUGAAGCUGAAUAUCGCAACAUUGCUCAAACUUUCACUAAAUUGACUUGGAUUUAUACUCUACUGACAGAGUUACAAGUUUCUUUCACUACUCCGGUAAUUUUUGUGAUAAUCAGAGUGUUGUUUCUAUUGUUCACAAUCUUGUUUUUCACUGUCGAACAAAACACAUGGAGAUUGAUGUGUUUUAUGUGAGAGAGAAGUUUUGGCCAAGCAGCUCUCAAUUGUUCAUAUUCUAGCUCUAGAUCAGUGGGCUGAUAUUCUAACUAAACCUCUGUCUACAUCAAGAUUUGAGGCUCUGAGAGGCAAACUCAAUGUGAAGAGUGUUUCCAUUGAAAACUCUCCCCCUUAAGUUUGAGGGGGGGUAUCAGUAUAUGUCAUUGUAUAACUGUGAAAACAGUUUUGUAUUUUGUUUGUAAGGACUGUUAGCCUUUUGUAACAGCACCCAUUCUAUAAUGAGUAACUACUGUAAGGACUAUUAGCUUUUGCUAUCAGCAUUCAUUUCAUCUUAGUCAGUACUUCAGGGAGUACAAGGGCUUUUCUAACUGCACCUCAAUAGGAUCAGUUAGUUAUAAUUAGUUCUGUUGUAUAGAGGUAUAUAAAUUCUUGAAUUGUAACUACCUCUAACUAACUUUUCAGAUCAAUAGAAUCAGCUUUGUUCUUCUCCUUUUUCUUCUCUAUUUUUCCUCUGUUUUUCUCUCAAUUUAUCGAAAAACUACCCACAGUCACACCCAUUCAACAACCUGAAAACUCUAGUGAGGAAGAUUCUAAUAUUUAUUUAUCUAUUUAUUUAUUGGUAACAGAAAGUUUAGGGGUAGGGCAGGUUGAAAGGCUCUAAUAUUUAAAUGACCAAUUAUGUCAAAAUUUUGACUUAUCAGAGACAAGAUGUCCUAGAAAUCAAAUAUUAUAUCACGUCAUGCAAAGUCUCUUCAGUGUGAAGCACAUAUAAUAUGCAUAUAUAAAACACACCAUUAUAUUGUCCUGAUAUUUAAAAUAAUACACUGAUGAAGCAGACAAUGGUCAAGAUUUGGAGAAGUUAAGGAGGCUCUAAUAUUAUAUCAGGAAGGAAACAACUGACCAAUGUGAAGUAUAUACAAAUAAAAAACACAACAUGGAGCAGUUAAGGAGGCUCUAAUAUUAUAUCAAGGAAAUGUUGACCUUAAAGAUCAAUCAAAUAAAUGGGAGCUAAUAUCCUUUAUAGAUAUCUCUACAAACCAGGAAUAGAUUCUCUCAUGUGAGUUCUUCACUUUUGUUUCUAUCUCUCUCUUUACUUGGCCCAGUGACAUGAAAAUCCCAUGAGAGGAUCCAUUCCCAUGAUAAACCCAAUUAUGUAGGUUAAACUUAAUACAAAAAGGCCCACAUAUUUUGUUAAAGAUUAUAAGAGUAUACUUACUCGAUAGAUAGUUAUCUUUACUUGGGUUUUUUCCAAUACACCCCCUCACUUCCAGCACUUCUUGGGCUUGGUGCGUGGAUAACAAUGGUGGGUGACCCUUUGUAUUAAACUUGAAUAAGCUCUGAUACCAUCUUAAAAUCUUAGAAUGUGAGUUUAGGCCUAACUCAACCCCAAAAGCUAGCUCAAGGGGUGAGGGUUGCCCCUCACUUAUAUACUAUUACUUGGCUUUAUCUUUAGCUGAUGUGUGACUUGGGUUUUUCCCAAUAUGUAAAGAUUAAACUAUAGUUAGUAGUGAGUUUAUAGUUAGUUAGUUAACUGUUAGGACAGCUGUUUAACAGCUGUCACUAACUGACUAGAGUUAGUUGACAAUUGCAGUUAUGUAACUGUCUACAUAAAUUGAGGUGUAAACUGUUCAUUCCUUGGGCUGAAUAAUAUCAUCUUUUCACCUCAAUGCAGUUUUAUUUAUUCUCUCUCUCAAGAUUCAUUUAUGGUAUCAUAGAGCUUUGUUUCAAUCCCUAGAAUUUUCAUGCCCUCCGCUUCCAAUCCUUCUCUGCCAGGGAAAAAUGGCACUCUACUAGCUUCUCCAUCUGUUGUAACUGCAAAAGAAUUCUCACACUCAAUCUCGCAGAAGUUGAAGAACGCCAACUACCUCCUAUGGUGUCAACAGGUUGAACAUGUGCUCAAAGUCCAUAGCCUUUAACAUCUUCUCACCGAGCCUCAAAUUCCACCGCAAUACACCACCAUUGCCUAUCACGAUGCCGGUAUUACUUCACCCGAGUUCUUACUCUAGGAGCAACAAGAUCAGCUCCUCCUCUCGUGGCUACAAUCCACCAUUUCUGGUGUGGUUCUUCCAUGACUCGUCGGAAGCAAAACUUCUUGGCAUCUUUGGGACAAACUUCAUACGCACUUUUACUCUAUUAUUCAUGCGAAAAAGCAUCAACUCUGCAACGAUCUUCAUACCAUCUUUCUCAAUAAUAGCUCAAUUUCUGAUUAUCUGUUUCGUAAUCAAACCAUAAUUGACUCGCUCUCAUCAAUUGGAGAACAUGUUUCUGAAUCUGAACUUGUUGAUAUAGUUCUUGAUGGUUUGCCUGAUGAGUUUGAAUCUCUUGUUACGUUCAUAAAUGGAAAGUUUGAGUCUCUAUAUCAAUGAAGUCGCGACUCUACUUCUUGCUCACGAGACUCAUAUUUCUCGCAAGAAAGCUCUUGCUUCGUUACUUGCUUCAAUUAAUCUUGCCGAAGCUGCUAAACCUAAUUUUAGCCCUAAUUCUUCUAUGCAAGCGUUUUCCAGCGACUCUGCCUCUACAAAUCCACAAGCUUAUGUUUCUCAGGGUCAGUCUAGCUUAUCGUCAAACUUUGGUUCAAGCUACAACAAUUAUAAUGGUGGAAAUAGGUUUUUCAACUCCGUUCAUGGUGGUGACCAGAACUUCUCUCGUGGUGGUGGCUGCGGCAGAGGUUGCUACUUCAAUGUGCAGUAUCAUAUUUGUCACAAAUAUGACCUGGCUACUUUCUGCCAUCAUAGGCAUGAUGACGAUUAUGUUCUCACUCAACCAAUGGAUUACCCCAACCAAUACUCCGAUCAGAAUCAAUCUCAGACUUCAGCCCAAUCAGUAUCACAGUCAGAAUCCUAAUUCAUAUCCUAGUCAGCAGUCUAACCAAUCUCAGUACAUCAGUACUCAUCUCAGUCUCAAUACAACAACCAAUCAGCACCUGUUCAACAUCCUCCACAAGCACAUCUGACUAGCGUGGUGCUGGCAAUCAAAACUGACUGCUAUAAAUAAGAAACCCUCCAAGGUAGAAAUAGAAGAGAAAAAAAAUACAAAGAAAAAGUUGCAUAUAAUGGUCAAUGAAAAGAUAAGCAUGAUAAUAUAAAUUAGAACACUUACUACAUUUGAUAUAACAUUGUAUAGCAAUUACCUAAAACAAUGAAUAAAUACCUAAACAAUCUUUGUUUUUUAUAAAAAGGGCAACUCAAUGCACAGGACCUCUAGGUCAUAAAGCAGCAACCUAAUUGGACCAAGGUUUGCCCUCCCCAAUUAAAGAAGAAAUUUUAUUGACGAGAGAAAUAAUACAAGUCCAAAUGAUAAGAUUUCCUUUAGAAAAAGAAACAUGUUGAGAUAUGGUUUUGAUAUGUGUUAAGAUAACAUUCUGAUAUGAUUGUUUCCUUAUUCACAUUAGGAUUGUUUCCUUAUUUCCUAGAUCUAUUAAACAGGCCACCCACCAUGUCAUCCACGCACCAAGCCCAAAAGUGUUGGACGUGAGGACAACCCUCACCCUAUGAGCUAGCUUUUGGGGUUGAGUUAGGUCCAAACUCACAUUCUAAGAAAACAAAAUAAUAAAGAUAGAUCAAGUAAGCAAAACUUGCCAAUCUCUCUGCAUAUUUGAGAAAGAUAUAAAUAAAUAAGCCACCAUAGCACCAUGAAUUUUAGAGUUGGGUUCAUGAUCAAGGUCAAUGUUCAUUACCAUAGCAAAUUAAAUAUGCAGAUAACGAUUAAUCAUCAUGAAUAAUGAAUUGGAAACAUACCAAAGACGUAAAAGAGAACUAUGGCAAAAGAGGCCGGAAACAAGAAGCUCACGAAGUCCCAAAUAAAUGUAGAAGCCCAAUAUGACAGGACAGAAACCUGAUUAGCAAGUUCAAAAUAAGAUUAAUAUUCAAAAGGAGAUAGAAAAGCGUAUUCAUUGAAUGCUUUCUAUUUUGAAAACAUUAUAUACCCCACUGAUUAGUUGUUGCUGCUUAGCUUUCACUUCACGUUCCUGUACCAAUCAAGAAUUUACAUGUGUUUAGCCUAAGACACAAGAAAUCUGAGAAUGUCAUUAAUCUUGGACACUCUUGUAGCAAGAAGUUUACUCUAGUGAAUUCAUGACAUGUCAAAUGAAAAAUAUGGACUUCAUAUAGAAAACAAAAAAAUUGAAAAUGAAAUUUGUCAAUUUAUCUAAGAUCGCAACAACAGAAACUUAUGGGAAUCUUGAAUAAAGAAAAUGUUCUCUUUUAUAGAUUGUUUCAGGAGGAAGAAAAAUACUAAAUUAAAAAGACGACAAGUUGGAAGCAGUUUAACACAACAUACCUUAACAAUUGAAACGGCAAAUGAGGCAGGUAUAAAAGAGAAAGCAAUAUUGACAAUAACUGCAGCAGAGAAGGCAUCCAGGUCCUACAGAAUUUCAUCUACAGUAUCAAAUCUUCAAUUUUCUGAAGCGCAUAGAGGGGACAAUAAAACAUAGAUUUGGUACAAAUGUAAAGGGCAUUGCCAUAUUAACACAAUAUUAUUUAAUAUUGCUGAUUAGCAUACAAGUCAGAAAUUAUGUGAAACUACGAAAAAUAAGAACCAUAGAAGUAGAAACUAACACAAACUACAAAUGCAUUGCAAUAUAAUAAGGCAAUAUAUCCUGAAUCCCAACAUAUACCCAUUAUCAAUACUAACUGGAUCAUGUAUCAUGAUGCUUGAAGAAUACCCACUUAUGUGAAAUAAAAAAUUAGCUUACAUGACGUUGUAAGCGCUGGCUUUGUGUCGUUGGUAAGGGGUGGUUGCGUGUCUGAAUUGUCAUGUUUGUGUCAUGAGUUGCAAGCCUGAGAAUUGCAGAAUUCAUCAAAUUGAUAAAUGUAGGAGCAGCAUGUUGACAGGAACAGUUGUGUAAUACAGUGUAUCCUAAGCUUCCAUCAUUAUUCUGGUCAUCCAUCACAAUUGCCCCAUACCUGAAUGUCAAAAACACAGCAAUAAAACAAACUAUUUUGUCAUCAUCAUAAAAAUUGUAUUCAGUUGUUUUAUCUGAGUUGAUCAGUUGACAAGUAAUAAUAUAGUUAAACUGGUUCCUUGCAGAAAUAUAUACAGCACUAUACUAGGGCAUGAACCUAAGAUCUUCUAGUUUGGACAGUAGGUUUCUUGUCAAAGCACCUCUAGACUGAAAAUUCCUUCACAAGAAGAAAACCACGGGGCUUGAAAUGUGGACAAAGCAUACACUCAAAUCAAGCUUUUAUGAAAACAACAAACAACUUCACAAAAAUAAUUUUAAUUUUUUAGUCUGGGCGGCAAGAAAAAAUAUUACACAAAAUUCACUAGUAAAGUUUACAGAAAUCUUCCAUGAUCUCAAUAGAGAAGCAAAUGUGAGUCACAUAUAUAAUCACAUCAAUAAAUGAAAAUAAUCAUUGAUUCUAGGAAGAAACACUGACUCAAUUUAGGUUUGUUCAAAAUAGAAUUUCAUCUUCCUGUAUAAUAAAACGAAUAAGGAAAAAUAUUAUAAUAUCAUUCUCAUGGCUGCCCCAAUACUAAUAUGGAUUCUAUAUUGCACAAAAAAAUGUUUCAUAAUAAUUGCUUGACAAUUCUUAAAAGAGAUAAAAACUAAAAAUGAAACAGGAGACUCAGGUUUUCUGACCUAGAUUGGUAGGAUUCAUUAAAGCUUGACAUCAAAUAUUCACUCAUUGAAAGUAGAGCAGGUCCCAAGGUUGGUCCUGCCGCUUCCACUGCAUCAGCCAAUGCCUUUUCUGAAUUAGGGAAUCUGUACGAGCUUGGCUUGAACCUCUGAAUCCACCCUCCGAUGACAUUUUGUGCUACCUUGAAAUAAAAAUCUCAGCAAAACUCAAUCACGACCCACCAGCUUCAUCUUUUUUAGCAGCAUAAGUCUAUGACUACAGAUAAAAAAGAAAACAUAAAAAAUGGAGUAAGCAAUCAGUGACAAACCUUUUCAGCAAUUGGCAAAGAUAGAUUAAACGGAAUUGGGCCUCCUCCACCCCCACCACUCAAUAGAGGAUUAAAAUGAGAAGUUGAAAGGGUGAGUGAUUGCUGAUCAGGAUGUGGCUUGAGCUUCAGAAAUAGAAGACCAAUAAACAAGAAGAGAGUAGGAAUCAUUAGCUGGAAAAUAAUUGUUUUGUGAUCUCUCCGAGCAGAUAUUGCCCUUUUAAUGAAUAAGGCUUUAGAAUGUUGCCAAAAUGUUGACCUUGUAAUGAAACAACAGCUACAGCACUGCAUACCCAAGAAGUUGAUAAAACUAAUAACUGUGGCAAAAAUUAAGCCACAGGCUCUUCCCAACAUGGUAGUCAUGAAACCAAAAAUCUUCUUAUAAUUUCCAAAAAACUUAAGACAACUUAUUUUUGUGGAAGGAUGAUCAUUAGUAGGAAGAGAAGCCACCGAGUCUGAUUUAUGGGUAUGGUUAUUUUCUACAAAGCAUUCAACUUCAUCAUAGUCACAUCCUGCAACUCUCAAAAAUACCUCCUCCAGGGUUGUUACAGAUAUACCAUAGCUUUCAAUACCAAGACUGUCUUUGUCACCAUUUCCACUCAAUUCCAUAUUUGAAACUGUUUUUUUCAUGCAACCUUCAAUUUCUCUAAACAUCCUCUCAAAGGCUGACGAGGAUGCCAUUGGAAGCCUGAAAGAAAUCUCAGUUCCAACCUGGAAAUGCAUAUCCAGUUAGUAAGGAUAAAAUGAAAUCAACAAUCACAGUCUCAUAUGUAUCUGGCAUUGAGAUAGACAAUUAAAUCCUUCACAAAAAUAAAGGUAAAAGAGGAAAACUAGGGCUUAAUGUUCUGUUAAAUAAGAAGUCACCAAUGUUUGCUAAACAAUCAAUUAUCAUGUUGACAAAUCUAGCUUAUUCAAGUCAAAAGUUAUGAUUUCUCUCAAGAACAAUUUAACAAAUAAAAAUAGCAGGCAUGUGAGCAUUCUUCAACUUUCAUUUCAACAAUUAAGUGAAUAAGAAAUAUAUUUAUUUGCAUCCAUGUUCCUCUCCUUGCAUAGCAUUAUACCACACUAAUGGUCUCCUGCCCUUUUUUCUAAAAGAAACAGACUAGCACAUGAAUAAAGGACACUAUGGGCCCAUUUGUUUCUAGAAGAAGUGAUUUUGUUGUGCAAAAAAAGUAGUUUUUAAUAGAUUUUAUGUAAACUUGUAAAGUAGAAGCUCUUUCACAUUUGGUUACAAUUAUACUUGAAACAGUGUUUUAUAACACCUUGAGAAGAAGCUCUCAGCGUCACAAAUAUAUUAUAUAUACAAGAAAUAUAGCAACAUAAAUCCAUGAAUGUUAGGGAUUGAGAUCUAGUACAGCAAUUUCCUAUCAUAACUAAGGAAACUACAGAAACAAGGAAAAAAUAAAUGAAUAUUACAAUAGCAAUCACUACUGAAAUCUAAUGAAUACAUAAUCAACAAUCAUAAAAUUACUCUCUUAUAAAAUGUAUGGAGGUUCUAAUUACACUAAUAAUAGAAAGGAAAGAGAAAACUAUGGUUUAUCUCACCAGUGUUGGAUAGAUGUUGGAAUCAACCAUCAGAGGCCAAUUUCUUUGAUAAUUGAUAUCAAUAAAAAAUAUACCAAACAGCAGCAUGUCAACACUUUAAUCUUAUCCAAACAGUUUAAAAUAUAUUUAAAGUAGAUUUUUAAAAAAAAAACAAUUUGUUUGAAGAAGAUCUUAAACAAGUGCAUUCUAACCCAAUGCUAUCAAAGUAGUUUGGUUCACCCCAUGGAAGUUUAAAAACUAUUUAAUAAAAAAGAAAACUAAGUAAAGAAAAAGAUAGUGAUGCCUUCCUCAUUUCUACACUACUCAGUAUUCCAUUUCUUCAAAAGUCAUUUUUCAGUGACCUAAUGACAGGAGCUUCUGAAUCAGAAUCCCUUUAAUUUUACGAGACACCAUCUCUUUGUCUUCCAACCUACAUAGGAGGACUUAGCCCCUUUGUUUUUCUGGAGAAUUUUAUUGAAUCCAUACCCAUUCUCCAAACACCCAAAGUUUCUUCUUGAAAAGCCUAUUUGGAAAUCAGAAACAGGCUCUAAAGUUAAACCUUUACAUUUAAGCAGAACCACUCAUCAACAUUACCAAUUUGUCAUGUUCAGAGUCUUAAGCAAGAAAAACUGAACGAGAAUGACAAUAUUUUAAAGCAGUGCACUGUGUAUGCAAUUCAUUGGUGCUGGUUAGAAAUUAGAACAAAAUGUUCAAAUAAGAGGAAAUAUUUGAAUCUGGAUCUAAUGUGAGACAAAAUAAUUGUUGUCACCACUUUGCAGUACUCGGAAAAUUUGCUUUUCAAGGAAACUCUCCAAUAGACAAGCAAAGAGACAUUAAAACCUAUAAGAGUUAACUAAUGCUAUCUUUAUUUUAGGAUAAUCAACCUUCAUCAAUGCACACAUACAUACAUACACACAAGGGACCCUGGAGAAAGAACUUGCAUGGGAACUCCACCACACCAAUUCAUUUUCAACUACUCAUGCACACUACCAUUGACAAAUGAAUACAUGUUGUAUGAUCUUGAAAUUAACAUAUAUCUUAAAUGAACUAUACUGUGAGAAAAGUACCUCGCUUACACAUGUUGCAGAUGGAACAUGACGGUAUACAAUAUCACCAGCUAUAGAAGCAGUAGGAGCUGACUGAAAGCACAAGGACAAAAAGAAAUACAAAAUAAAAACAACUGAAGUCUUUCAAUUGCAAAACAUCAGAGUCUAUAAGAAUGAAAAAAAAUGAUCACUAAGAGAACAAACCUUCACAAGAGUUAGAGUAUAGCCAACUCCAUAAUGAUGCUUCAAGAAAAGUGAGCUGUAAAAAAAUCAAACAAAUAAUGGGAGAGAGCAAAAUAUAUAUAGUACAGAAACAGAAUUCUUCAGAAUUGCUUCAAGGCAUGACAAUAUCUGAGAAAAACUGAAAAUGAAAUUAACCUUCCACAGCAUUUCAGAGAACCAUUGGCCAUGAUAGCUAUGCGGUCACCUAGUUCAUCUGCUUCAUCCAUAGAAUGUGUAGUUAGCAAAAUUAUCCUUCCCUUCUUAAUUUUUUUUAUUAAUUGCCAAGUCAAGCGCAUCGAGUAUGGAUCCAUUCCACUAGUAGGUUCAUCAAGGACUAUAACCUGCCAAGUAAAUCCAAAAGAUUCCAGUUUUAUUCAACAUAUGAAUAUAAUUAUGUGCUGUCAAUAUGGAUCCUACCUUACUGCUUCCAAUCAACGCAAUUCCAAGAGACAAUUUCCUCUUCAUGCCACCAGAAAGAGUUCUCACAAUACUGUUGAUUUUAUCUGCCAGGCCCACCUGUUUAUGCAAUAAAAGUUAUCCAACAUCCUGGGUUGGUUGGAUUGUUUUGCAAGUUAACAAUGCUAAUAGAGUGUUAGUUAUAUUGGUAAGUUUGGAGGCUUGCAUGAUUUGCACAAGCCAAUGUCGUCUCAGCCAUCCUCCAGCCAUGGACCCUGAAUUCAGGUCAUAACAAGAGCCAUACAAAGUAGGAACGGCUGAUCAAAAAAAAAAAAUACAAAGUAGAAACGCAAACAAGUUUUCCUUGAUUAGUAAACAAGCUGAAAUCUAAACACAAGUUAACAUUUUGCAAGUGCAAUCAAGCUUUAUAAGAGUAUACUGUACCUCAGAAAAAAGCUUGGUUUUGACCUAAGCUCUGAUACCAUAUUAGAUUUCAGAGAGUUUGAGAGAGAGAGAGAGAAGAUUGAGAUUGAGAAACUGUUAUUAUUCAACCCAACUGAAAACAGUUACAAAGAGACUUUAUAUAGUUGCAGUGAGUAACUGCCAACUAACCUAUCUGUCAACUAACCAGAGUUAGUUGAUAGAGCUAACAGACAAAAGACUCCUAACUACAGUAAGUAAAAAUACUUGAGGUACAGUAUACUCUUAUAAGCUUAAAUAGUACACUUUAGCAUAACUUAAUAACAUUUUUUUUACUUGAAGUUGAAUUGUUUUGCAAUCUAUUUAUAGAAAGCAAAAAGUUUAUUAGAGACUUAAGACUUGGAAAAAUAAGAUUAUAAGACUAACAAUAUCUCAAUUGAUUAAAUUUUACCAAUUCAAUUCCCUACAAAUGAUCAACAAGCCUUUCUAAAUCAUACUUAUGUUAUGGGUGUUGUGGUAAAAGCAAAAGUUGUUAAAGACUUAUAAUUACCAAACUCACCUCAUCCGCCAUAUUAAUAACAGCAUUGUCCAAUGAGUGUUCCUCCACACCCUUUAAUGUCGCAAAUAGUUCUAAAUGCUCUCUAACCUGGGUAAAGUAAAUGGAAGAAUUCAGCAUAUCAUACAUUGUAAAAUAAAAAAGAUGUUUUCAGAACACAAAAAAAAUGCAACGUUGUAAUCUAAUCAGAUAUCAUAGUUAGAGAGGGGGGGUGUGAAUAAUUAUAUUUUUUUUUGGAAGGCAAAAUUAGGAUAUUAUUAAUAAACUAAACAGUACCAGAGGUACUGAAGAAAGCAAUUACAAGGCACUAGGUGCCACCUUCCAAAAACAGAAAUAACAAAACCCCAACAGAGCCCAUCAUAAAGGACAUCAAUACAGAUAUCGAUUAACCAAAGGCCUCCAUAAGAUUGGUAGACCAAUGGUUAUAAGAUGUAUUGAAACCUUUGUCUCCAACUUUUAGCCAUGACCAAACUAAAAAUAAAGCAUCCUCCAAAACUUUCUGCGGUUCAAAAGGAGUGCCUUGAAACAGGAGAGAAUUCCUAUGCUGCCAUAUUGUAAUAGAUAGAGCAAUCCACCACAUGCCCCGCCUUCUGUGAUUACUCGUGGCAACAAAUCCAUCACAGAAUUGGAUAAAAUGGCUAGCCGGAUCAGCUGAAAGAGCUCCUAUACCCCGGAUCCAUCUCAAGGAUUCCCACCACAGCCCCUUGGUCAUUUUACAGUGGAAGAAAAGAUGCCCAGCCUCCUCAUGCUGGCAGCCACAAAGAGGGCACAUAAUAUCCUGAAUAGGAAUGCUUCUCUUGGCCAAGUUUCCCCUAGUGGGGAGUCUAUCCAAAAACAACCUCCAAGAGAAAACCGCAGCUCGAGGGGGGAUUUUAAAAUGCCACAGGAUCUGAAAAUUCCUCUUGGAAGGGGCAGAGCUGAUGGAUGGCAUCAGGAGCCUAUAUGCUGACUUAGUGGAAUAAACUCCACUAGGGUCAGCUUUCCAGAACAUGCUAUCAUGAGCCUGAUUCUGGAUGGAUAUGCCUGAGAUUUCAUCCAUGAAGAACCAUAUUUCAAUGCACAACCUUAUAGUACAGUGCAUCUUAGUGUUGUUUAUAAUAGGGAAAACAACCCCAUAAAACCUUUAAUACAAGCAAUGAAGGACCUAGAGAUUUGGGGCACUGUGGGUAAGAACAAUGGCAACAUGUACAUGGUAAUCAUAGCAUGUAAUAUACAAAAAAAGGCAUAGUAAUAAAUAUGCACAUGGGUCAGAAAUCUAUAAGAAUAUGUUGCUUACAUCAUUAUGACAGCUAUACAGUAGAGAAGAUGCAAAAGAAAAAACAGCUGAAAGCCCACCAAAAUGAAAUAAAAACAAAGAAAAUACUCCUAAAUGUUCAGUAUAAGAAUAUGAAUUAGCUGUAUAGUACAAUACAGGUAAUUAGUUAUAAAGGGCAAUGAUUAAAAUUCUAGAACCAUCAUUCAACAAAUAUGCAGAUUGCAGAUAGUCACAAUACAGAGAAUAAAAAAAUAAAAGCAUAUUUCAACUCACUGUUAAUUCAGGAAAGAGUAUAUCAUGUUGUGGGCAGACACCCAAAACCUUCCGUAUCUCAUCCUACAACACAAGACAUUGCAUUUAGAAUGAACACAAGACAUUGCAUUUAGAAUGAACACAAGACUAAGAGCAAAUGUUCAAUAAGAAAGGGGAAAGUAACCAAAAAAAAAUAAACAGAUACAGAAACUGGAUAUCCAUGUCUGGCUAGUCAAUUGAGGAAAAUAUUGCAAAAUCCAAAUUGGGACAUAUUCGCCUUUACCAACAUAAAUAUUAUAUACAGCCUUAUUAGAGUAGUUUGUCUCUUCCCUAACAUACGUGUAACAGAUAUUUUAUCUUAGUUACCCAGUAGUUAGUCUUUACCCAUAUGUGUUUACUCUUUCUAUAUUUCCUAGUUACCUUAUCUAAGAUAGAAGAUUAUUUUAUCAGAUGAUUCAGAUCACUAUCCCUUUCAUUUAGCAAUCCUUCUUUGUAUAAUUUCAUAUAUCAUAUAUCUAUAUAUUGUUUUAAGACUGAAAGCUUUUGCUCAUCAAUCAAUAAUAAUAAAUCAGUUUCUGCAUUUCAUGUACACCCUACUUUGCAUCGUAAGCUGAACCAGAUCUUGUUCCUUCUCAAGUACUUGUCCCUCACUUUGACUCAUUUGUUCCCUUCUCCUGGUGCCCCAUAGUCACAGGAUGAUCUUCCAUUGCUUCAAUUUGGUAGCACUUAUGAUUGCUGUCAUCCUGCAAUUCCAGAGAUUAUGUCCAUUGUUGAUUCUCAUGAUUCACCUCUUACUCCAAUCUCUUGACCUGUUGUAGUCCCAUAUAAGCCUUUUGUUGACUUACCAUUGCACUUCAUGAAGGUAAACAUUUUACCCUUAAUUCGCAUCACAUUUUUAACUUUUUAUCAUUGACUGUCUUUCCCAUUUUUUUUUGGAAGGCAGAAAAUAUAUAUAUUAUUAAUAUGUAAGCCAGUACCAGUGGAACCAGAGAUAAAAUUUACAAGGCACCAAGGUGCUACCCUCCAAAAAGACCAUCCAACCUAAGCAGCAAAAACAUACAAGCCCAACCCCAACUAGGCAACGAAAUUCGUUAUAUUAGAAGACCAGUGGUUGAAACUAGUACUAAAGUCUUUAUCAUUAGCCUUUAACCAUGACCAAGCUAAAAAAAUAGCAUGGUCCAUGACUUUAUAGGGAUCAAAAGGUUUUCCUUGGAAAAUCAAAUGAUUCCUAUGCUGCCAUAUAGAGCUAGUUAAGGCAAUCCACCACCCACAUCUUGUACUAUGGUUCCCAUUUGCCCCAAAACCAUCACAGAAUUGAGAGAAAUGGUUAACAGGGUUAAUGGAAAGGGGACCUACUACCCGGAUCCAGCUCAUAGAUUCCCACCACAGGCCAUUUGUCAGACUACAGUUGAAGAACAGAUGGCCCACAUCCUCCUGUACACAACCACACAAGGAAAAGGUCCCAUUGUGACUUUGUUUUUGUUAUUUCAGUUCAUCUAUUACCAUUCCUAAGAAUGUUCAAGAAGCACUAUCCCAUCCAGACCAAGCAUUCACAUUGGAUUAAUAUUUUACCACAACCAAACCAGUUAUCUAUCUCCCUAUGAUAGUAAUUGGAACAAUUGUUCAGAUUCUAGGGUAUAUCACCCCACAAUAUGCUUGUUUAUAUGAAUAGGGAUUAUACUAAUAUCACUGGAUGGGCAUGGAGGUUAAAAUUUGCUGUAUUUGCAUGGAGGUUAAUCCGAGACAGAUUACCAACUAGAGUAAACUUGCAGAGAAGACACAUUCAGGUUGAAGAUUCAACAUGCCCAUUCUGCAGAGGGGAGGAGGAAAGUGCAGGCCACUUAUUUUUUCAGUGUGGUAAGAUAAUUCCAGUAUGGUGGGAGUCCUUGUCUUGGGUGGGCAUGUCGGGAGCCUUCUCAAACAACCCAAGGCAACACUUUAUCCAACACAUAUAUGGAGUUACAGCGGGAAUGAGAUCUAGCAGAUGGAAGUGGUGGUGGUUGGCACUGACGUGGACCAUUUGGCAGCAGAGAAACAAUAUUAUAUUCUCAAAUGGUACAAUCAAUGCAAAUAAAAUCUUAGAUGAUGCAAUUUUCCUGAUGUGGACGUGGCUCACAAAUUUGGAGAAGGAUUUCAACAUGCAUUUUAAUUUCUGGUACUCUAACAUCAGAGCAGGAUUCCUCAAAUGAGGAGGACAGAAUUUCAGAGCAGAUUUAUGUAAUGUUUUCAUGUAGAUCAGAUUAUGGUCCCAUAGGUAUACCAAAUGUCAAGGGACCAAAUCUGACCUGUAUUAUGUACUUUUAGUACCACUGGUACUCAUUAAUAUAAUACUAUUUUUGCAGAAAAAGAAAAAAACUAAUAUCACUGGAUACAGAAGCAGAUUGGGCAAGUGGUGCUAGUGAUAGGAACUCCACUUUAGUUUACUGUGUUCUCUUUGGAGGAAGUUUAAUUUAAUGGAACAGCAAGAAGUAGGUAGACUGGUGUUGCUAGAUCAAGUAUAGAGGUAGGUAGAGUAUUGUGCUAUGGCUUAUACUACUUGGAAACUUUAAUGGAUAAAACCACUUUCUCCAAGAGUUGAAGUUCUGUGAGACAAGUCCUAUAGAGCUUGCUUGUAAUAAUCAAUCAGCUUUGUUCAAAGUUAAAACCCAAUCUUUCAUUACAAAACUAAACAACAGAAGUUGAUUAUCAUUUUGUUAGGGAGAAGAUCCUUUCGGGCACUAUCAAUACUUAUUCUGUGAGUUCCAAGGAUUACAUAGAAGACAUUUUCACUGAGGUCUUAGAGAGAAGAUCCAUUCAGACACAAUCAAUACUUAUUCUGUGAGUUCCAAGGAUUAGAUAGCAGAGAUUUUUACUGAGGUCUUACAGAGUCCUAGAACUGCAUAACAAGCUGGAUGCAUAUGUUAUAUAAAUACAUAUGCUCCAACUUGAACGGGAGUGUUGGUUGUGUUUGCAAUUAUGUGUUGUUCUUACCUUCCAUUCUAUGAUAUGUUUUCAUAGUUUCCUUAGAUAGUUUAGGCUGUUACUGACUCUAAACCCUAACCUCUAGGAAUUUGAUUCUGUUUCCCUUUGUAUAUUUGUACACUCAACACAAAUAUUCAAUUGACACACAUACACCGCAUUUAAUAACCACUUUCACAGUCACAUAAGACUCUAAUUACUGAAUAGUCUCCUAAAUUCCUUAACACAUACUAUUUAAAACUUACAAUAUCUGAUACAAUGUUCUUUCCAAACACCAAAGCAUCCCCAGAAGUAGGAGGAAGCAGACCAACAAGCAUUGAGAUUGUCGUGCUUUUCCCAGCUCCAUUAUGUCCUUGAAAAUUGAAACAAAAUCGUUGAGCAAAAAUGUUUAUACUAAAUUGAACUGAAAGGUUCGAGAUACAAUUAUUUAGACUAAUUCAACAUAGUAGCAGUUAGCCGUCAUUGAUGUGACAGCUAAAUGAGCCCCAAACUGAAUUCUAACAGCUGUAUCAAACUAACUAGAUUGCAGUAAGAUCACCCCUGCACAGGCCCAUAGACAUAUUACAACGUGCAUGCUCAAGGGGGCUAGAAUAGCAAUACAAGUGUAUCACAACAGUAACAAGCUUAAAAGCUUAUUAAAUUGUAGCUUGAAGGGAUGUUUUAGUCUUUUAGAAUAUAGAAACAAUAUCUAAUAAUAUCUUGAUUACAUCUAGAGUAACUUAGAUUAUCCUAAAUUAUCUCUCUUUGAAUUAAUUUUCAUAUGUCCUUACUAUCUCUUAAGAAUAGGUUGCAUGUUUUCUAAUAUUUCAUGAUUUGUUUCCUUAUUAAGUUAGGAUUAUGAUUUAGUAUUAGCAUAAAUAUCGGCUAAUGGUUUAUGUUUUGUAACAGAUACAACACAUUAUAUCAUAUCUAGUUAAUACCAAUUUCAGAGUUUAUUCAGUACUCUUUCCUCUAUUCCCUUUAUACCUAAAACCCUAUAAUUUCAACAGUAAUUAUGUGGGGACAAAAAAACUGCACUGACCUAGAAGGGCAAGAAUCUGGUUUUCAUACAGUGUCAGCUGUAAUGAGUUAACAGCACAGCAAUCUCCUUUCUUCGUAGCAUAAACUUUAUGCAAAUUCCUGAUUUGAAUGCACCUGAAAAUUUAUCAAAUAUCAGAAAGAGAUAAUGUAUCUCUGCUAAAUUGAUGCACUUGAAUUGUAUAUCAUAUACCUGCCAUCAAGCUCCUGUUGUUUCAUCUCUAAGCUUAUUGCUUCUAUGCCAGAUUUGGAAGUAUAUUCCCCUGAAAGAUUCCCUUCUGACUCAGAAUUUUUAUCAGAUAUUUCAACUUUAAAACCGGAGGAACAAUGUUUUAGAAUUUUUUUCUUCCUCCAGAAGUCCUUUUGGAAAAUAAAGCUCCAUGGGUAUCUCAGUCCAUACUCCCUUGGAAGAACCUUCAAGAUGAGCAGAGUUUGAAUGGUUUUAUCAUUCACAAGACAAAAUGGAAAGAGAAUACUUCACAGUAAAAAAGAGAAAAGGCUUAAAUAUAUUUGAGGUCCCUAAUAAAUGGCCGAUUUUUGUUUUUUGUCCCUAAUAAAAAAAAAUUGUUGCAUUGGAUCACUGAUAUAUCAAAACUUUUGUUUUGAGUCCCUAUCAACACUAAUAUAUCCAAUCACUUGAAUAGUCUAAUCCAGAAGAUAUAUUCAAAUAGAGCAAUGAUAUUUGAACACCCACUUUUUUUAAACACCCCAUCAAUACCUCUCAUUUCUCUCUACUCUCUCUUCAUAUCACCCAUAAUACCUAUACUUUUCUCUCUUUUAUCUCUCUCCCACUAGGUGUCUAGUAGCACAAUGGAUGUCCAUAAAUAAUUUUCCAUUCAAAUAACCAAAGACAUGCCUUGUCAAAAUAAAGUCCAGUCGCACAAUAUAGCAGUGUAUCAAGUAUCAUCAUCAGAAGACAUGCCAAAAAGUUCACUCCAGAUGAUUCCUGAAAGAUAAAUAUAUUCGAUUUGAGGUAAAAAAGCAAAAAAAAAGGUCAAAUUAGUAAUGUUAAGGGCAUUAUCGCAGAAACUCACCCGCCAUAUGUUGCUCCAACGGAGUCCAACAUGAGCACGCUCAUAAUCAGCAAAGUUGAUCGAACCCAAAGCAAAGGCUGUAGGUGAAAGUAAGGAAGCAAUAACCUUCAAGAUUCUGAAGGCAGGCAACCUCAAAUGAAUGAAAUCUAGACUCAAAUAUGAAAAUUUGAACUACAAAAGUAAUAGUUAAAGGACAAGAAUUCACAUUGAAACUCCCUCCUCGUUGACAGUGUAAUAAGGGAAAAAGGCUCCAAGAAACGCCAGAGUUCCAACAGCUACAGCUGUUUUGGCCCGUUUGAAAAACGUUGAUAUAAAGAAUGAGAGCAUGAUUGCACUAAGCCCAAAAACGAAAAAGUAUGCAAACACCAGUGUCUUAUCACUAUACUUGAAUAAAUUAUCCAUUGUGCAAGCUGUAAGGAUCCCAGAAGAAAUUGCAAACUGUAAAGAAUAAAUAAUAAAAAGAUGAGAAAAUGACAAUUUCUUGAUCUAGAAAUGGUAAGAAUCAACUCAUUCAUCACAACAUUAGUCAUACACUAAUUUCCAACUUACAACACAAUUUAAGUUAGGAGAUGAAAUAAAGGAAUUGAGUUUCAACACAAAUUAAUGGAGCACUCAAGCAUUUUCUUGUAAUUUGAGGAGUGCUAGAAACACAGUAUUACUAACACUCUUAUCUAUUGUUUGGAAUUUAAUCAAAACUACAAAAACAGGAGAGAAAGAAUCAAUAAAUAUGAUGUAGGACCCACAAAAUUGUGAUCUUCAACGAAUUUCAACUAAUAAGAAAGAAUGAGUUCAAAGAGUGUGUCACUGACAUUUCUCCCUGUACUUUAUAUCUCAUAUCUCACCAACAAUGAUGGCAAUAAACCAACAACUUAAAAGUAUUUAGAUUUUUUAGAGGCAAAAAAUUAUUCCUUUUUUCAAAAAAGAUUCAUUAUAAUUUAUUAGAAAGUAUAACAUCCAGAAAAAAGUUAUGUACCAGAAAUCAGGGACAAAUCCAAGGGGGGGCAAGGCCCUUUGUGUAUAUAUGAAAAAAAAUUAAAAUAUUAAUAAUGAAAAACAUAUAUGAAAAUAUGUAUUUGAGAUGAUAUUUGCUUUAAAAAAUUUAGUAGUAGAUCAUAUAUCUAAUUUUAUCCAUAAAUUAAUAAUACAUAUUUUAAAAAAUUAUUAUUAAAUAAUUAUUUAUUAGAACUUAAAUAUUUAAAUAAUUAUGUAAAAAAAAUUUUGCCCCCCUUUGAUACACUCUUGAAUCUGUCCCUCCUAGAAAUAAGAUCGUAAUUACAAGCUUAGGGUGAUUAGGUGCUCCUAAAGUAGCCAAAAAUAAGAUAAAUGAUGUAUCAUAAAUUUAGUUUGCUUUUGAAACAGCAAAGAAAUUUUAUUGAAUCAUUAUAGAGACACAUGAUUUAUUUCCCACCACAUCGUCUAGAGUGUUUCACAGUGUUAGAGUAAUUGGUAUUUUGUAAUGGUUAUUGUAUUUGUCUUACUCUCUAAAGUUUUUUUUGCUUUUGUUGUACCCUAAAAGGGGCUAUGUAUAGGGCAGGCUCCCUUAGGCCUGAACCUGUCACAUCUUUCCUUUCUAUUGUACUUCAUCAUAUAUUAUUAAUAUAAGUGGGUGCCAAGUGAGAGAAUAACUCUUGAGCACUUUUGAUCUAAACCUUCCCUCUUUAAGUCACAGCUCCAUGUAAAAGUCCCCUACCUGUAAUAUUGAAACAUCUUUUGAUUCCUACAUAGUUUUCUUCCUUCUUAGAUUUUGAAAAUGGUUAACAUAAUAUAAUAUUUAGGAAGGAACAUAAUAUUAUAUAUAAAGUUUGGAUAAAAUAUUUUAUUAUAUAAUAUAUUUAUGAAGGAAUAUAAUUAUAUAAAAAUUUAAAUAAAAUAUUUAUGGUUUAUUUUUAUUUAUUUACAGUUAUGUUAUAUAUAAACAAUAAUUUAUUUAUUAUAUAAAUAAUUAUAUGUUUGGAUUAUAUUAUAUACACAAUAUAUAUGUUAAAAAUAAGAGAUUGUUUUUUAUAUACAUAAUAUAUACAAGAGAAAAACAACAAUCAUACAUACAAAUGCUUAGAUAUAAUAUAGUAUAACAAAAGAAGGUUUAAAAGGAAAUUUGGAAUAGCUCCCGCAAGUAGUAUAUGGCUCCACAAGAAGCAAUUAGGUGAGGAUAUAUUGUGUUGACAGUUACAAAAAAAUAGAGGGUGGGUAACGCUUUGGCUUUGAGAGGACUGCAACUUUUAUUUGUGUUGGAAAAGCCACCUACAUUGUGGUAACCCCUAGAUAGAAGGGGUGUGUUGAAAGUUUCACAAGGCAAGUACUCGUGGGCAAAAGGGGACAUGUUAAAGUCCCACAUCAACUAAAAAUAGUGUCGAGAUAAACUCUAUAAGUGAGGAGCAAUCCUCACCUUACAAGGAGAGAAGCUAGAAUCAGACAGGGUGAGAAUGCUUAGGGAGGGUCUUCAAGAAAUGUGUAGAACAAGCUCUCUUCUAAACUUCUAUGGUACGAAUUUUAGUUGGGGGUUCGUGUAACCUAAGUGUUGUGUUUGAUUUAAUGAUUUUUAGUUCCCAAACUUUUUAACAUUUAUGGUUUUGGUCCUUAAACUCUUCGGCAACAAAUCAGCAUCCCCAGACUUUUUUUUCCAUCCAAUGUUUUCAUCCUUUCCGUCCAUUUUGGCUCCCCACCCAUCUAACUCAUUAAUCCUGACAGAGUGUAAGACUGUAAAAAAAGGAAAAAAAAAAAAAGAAAAAGCUAUAGCAGAUGGAAUAACAAUAGAUUUACCUGCAAAGCAUAUGUGAUAAACCAAGAAAGGUGAAAUAUACCAUCGUUCAGGCCCAUCAUAUAGAGUCCUUCUUUAAUCUUCUGUUCCUGAAAUAUUACAUCAAUAAAUUGGGAGGUACGAACAUAACAAAAGAGGAUGGAAUUUCAUAUCUCACAAAUAAUAAUAAGAAUAAGAAGAAGAACCCAAGGGGAAUUAGAAACAAAUCGGGCCUAAUGGAAAAAAACCCAAGUCCCAACUCAGCUAGAGAUUCUGCCUAGAUGAGCUAGCUUUUGAGGUUAAGUUAGGCCCAAACCCACAUUCUAAGGCCUAGCUCACUCCCGGAAAGUAGCUCAAGGGAAAAGGAUUGCCCAAGUCUUAUAAGGAGUAUUCAAUGUAAGACAUUUUAAUACACCUCUUACGCACAGAACUAGACAUCUAGUGUAUGAAAUUUGCAAGACUGGACAUCUAAAAGUGGCGCAAAACUAAGAUAGGAUAGGCUAUGAUUAUGAACAGACUUGGCCUAACUCAUUCCUAGAAACUAGCUUGAGCGAAAAGGAUUGCCAAGUUUUAGAAGAAAUAUUCUAGCCAUAUUCCUAGUCUAUGUGAGAUAUUUAAUACAAAUUUUUAUUUUUUUUUUAUCAGCAAAAUAUGAUAUGUAUAUAAAUAUAAGAGUACCAGGGGUACUAUAAUUACAAAGUUUUAGAGAAAUCCUAGUGGAUCCUCAUGUCAAGUUACUUUCAGAUUGAUAUGAACCACCCUAUAUAAAAGAAUACAUCAUCAAAGCCCCAUGGCUUGUGAGAAAUUGGAUAGAGAAAUUGGAUAACCAAAUAACAUAGGUAAACCAAAAGGAAAUAUUAAACAAAAGAUAACCAAACCUUCUCAUACACAGAAUAACUGAUUAGGCGAGAAAUUGGAUAGAGAAACCCCAAUAAGUACCUGCACAUACAAGUCUCCGUUAAAAAGAAUAGCUUGUUUGAGAUAUAAUCUAAUAAUACUCUAAACAUAAUACAAAGGUUUAGUACAAGCUUACAAUAUUCCCAUGACUCUCUUUAUGAUUGACUGGAACUGAUCAUCAGUGUACUCUCGAGUGGGAAAUGGAGCUAUUCGUAUGCGUGCAGGGUUAAACUGAGUCCAAGGAUUUUUCAAUGAGAAAUUAUUGUCAUAGAAGCCUGGAAGAGGAAGCUCUAGAUUUUCAGCAUUGAAAUUGAAGUCAGACUGCUGCGCUAUUAAUAUUAUGAACGAAUCAACCAUUUGCUGGAGCUACAGAACCAGAAAAUAUAAAUGCAUUAAUAGUGUAACAAAGUAUAGAUAUCAAGUUAACAAAUAGAAGCGACAAAGAUGUAAACUUAUAACAUAGGGAAGCAAGCAAAGAAGGACAGAAGAAAGCAAGAUUCCCUCAUUCCCACAAGUUGAAUCGACCCAAUGUCUUUCCCUUUAAGUAAACCAAUACCAUUUCUAGCUUUUCAUCCUCCAUUGCCGCCCAUAUCCUGAAAUAACACUCCACCUCAUGAACCCAAACCUUGACAUCUUCAUCUCCACCAAAUGUGGGUAUCUCUAGCCUCCUCCAUUGUUCUUGCAGUCUUGCUGCACGUUCAAUCUAAGACUCUCCCCUCUCCCCCUCAGAUUCCUCUCUACGAAAUGCAGCAGAACCUAUAUACCCACCUUGCAUACUUGCAUCCAUCUACUGAAUCAGUUGCAACAUUAUUGCUUCCGGCCUCCUAAGUGCCUCUUGAUCAGAAUCUUGGGUUCUGCUUAGAUUUUCCAAGGUCCUCUGUCCAUAGAAUUCCAUUUUCUUGCCCACCAUCGAAUUCAUCUUCUGGUGUAUUGCCUAGAUUGAGCUCUGAUGCCAGUUGAUAAAUUGGUCAACUAAUCAAAUUAGGGUUCACAUGAAGACGAGUGAGAGAAAACAGAAUGAACCUUUUAUUGCUAAAGGGCUGAGAAUUAUGAACUGUGAAUUUUCAAAACUGAAUCAAGAGUAAUUUUUUUCCUUAUUUAUAUUACAUAACUGUCUAACUGCCACUAUUUAACUCUAACUAACUAACCGUAUAUUACAGUGGCCAAUGGGCAUAAUUCCCCUCUAGGCUCUUACUCCUUCUACAAUACACUUUAGUAAUUGGGUUUCUUGUCCUAACACGAGCAAGAUAUGGGUCUUUCCAACUACUGCAAUAUGCUGAUCAUGCACUAGUUAAUUUCAAAAUACUUAAUAGAGGUAAUAAGAUAGGGGGAAAGAGACAAGAACAAAUAAGAAAUUGAAUGAGAAUAAAGCAUCAUACAGUCAAAAACCCACUGAAGCUGUAUUGCAUUGUUGGUACAGCACUAACACCAAGUUCCAAGUCAUUAAGAAAAGGGCCAUUUGUAUCCAUUAUUGUUGUAACAUCUGGAAAACCGGAGAAAGCCCAUGUAUGAUUGAGGCGUAUGCUAUAAUCAAAUGAUUGAGGACCUUGUUCAUAAAACACAACUGCUCCUUUAAUUUUGGGAUUUGAACAAUUCCUAAACAGGUAGAAGGGAAACAAAUAAAAGUAAUUAGUAAAACAACCCAUAUUCCGGCUUCUCAAAAAAUUUCAAACGGCUCAAAUAAAAGCAUCAUUUUGAUAUUUCAUGACAACAGCUAAUAAAAUUACUGUAAAGACAUUACCAAAGCUAAACAAAGUUAUAAUCUAAAAGAGGUAGUCAUGCGAAUAAUUUCCAUUUUUAUAGAAAAAAAAUAUUAGAGAAAAAAAAAAAGCAACUUCAGUACGGAGAAAGAAGAGGGGGAAAAAAGUGACUAAAUUAAAAUAAAAGCAUGCAUAAAUUAGUACCCCAAUAACUAAAAAUCCAAAUUUAAAGUAACAGCACAAGCUUUAUUUAUUUGAUAGGAGAGGUUGUUUACAAGAAUGAAGCAAAUAAGAAUCCAUACUGACGGUAACCCAGAAUACUAAUAAAGAAUAAAUAAUCUAUGAAGCAACUUAAACCUCAAUAUCCCAGAACUCUAAAGUAUGUAGAUAAGGUAGAGCGCACAAAAAAGAACAAUUGUACAGCAGCACAAAAGAGCAACUGGGAAAAAAAUCAGAAGAGAAUAAAUAUUAUUUUGUGGCUGUCCAAGGAGACUGUAUCUUACAACUGAGUGAUUCAGUUAAUCGAUAAGAAUAAAACCUAAAUUGCCAUCCACAGAUGCAACCUAAAUAUAUAUAAACCAUAUAAUAGCCGGCCUAUUAUUAUACUUGUUAAAGAUAUGAUUUUAUCUUUACGUACAUAUGGAAAUGGGGAAACAUUGUAUAGCUGAAUAUUAGGGAUUAAGUUAGUGAUUUCUUCCCUUAAUUGUAUCAUUAUUUAUGAUUAUGAAUGUUAGAAUCCCUAAUUACUAGCUGAUUAGCAAUCACAUUUAUUUGUAUUUAUUGUAAAUAUAUUAUAUAUACAGAGCUGUGUCAGUGUGUGAUCUGCUUGAGACACAAUUUUAUGGCAUCAGUGAUUUAGGAUUUCUGCCUCUUUUUCUUUUUCUUUUCCGCCUUUGGGCCUGCUGUUCUUCAUGUGUGCAUAGUACCCACUGCUACUGCCAGCCACCGCCACAACCUCCGAUAUCCGGCGCGACCCCACCACUGGCUUCACUUCCCUCCGGCGACCCACAGUGGAAUAGGAGUAUAUUUAGUUGAUAGAGACUUUUCCUUUCUUAGCUGCUAUGUAUAGGCUUAACUACAGUUUACUGUGCUUUCAUAGUUAGUUAGUUAACUGACUAGAGACAGUUGACAGUUACAACAGUGUAACUGUCUAUAUAAACUGAGGUGUAAUUGUUUCUCACUUGGAUUGAAUAUUAUAACCUUUCAUCUCAAUUCUGUUUUUGAGAUUCUCUCUCUCUCUCUAAGAUUAGUUUAUAGUAUCAUAGAGCUUCGUUUCGAUCCCUUGAUUUUUCUUCCAUGGCUUCUGCUUCCAUUCCUCCUUCCCCUCCUCCACCAAGGAACAGUGGCGCUCUGCUUGGUUCUUCAGCGGUUGUCACCACAAAGGAAUUUUCACACUCCAUUUCGCAGAAGUUGAACAAUUCCAACUACCUCCCGUGGUGUCAACAAGUUGAACUAGUGCUCAAAGGCCAUCGCCUCUAUCAUCUUCUCACUAAACCUCAAAUUCCACCACGAUACCUCACCAUUGCCAAUUGUGAUGCUGGUGUAACUUCUCCUGAGUUCUUACUUUGGGAGCAACAAGAUCAACUCCUCCUAUCGUGGCUACAAUCCACCAUUUCCGGCGAGGUUCUUCCGUAACUCGUCGAAUGCAAAACCGCUUGGCAUCUUUGGGACAAACUUCACAAGCAUUUUUACUCCAUCGUUCGUGUGAAGAAGCGGCAACUUCGCAAUGAUCUCGUAACAUCUUUCUUAACAAUAGUUCUAUUUAUAACUAUUUGUUUCGCAUCCAUCUGGUAAACAUCUUUCUUUCUUAACAGUGCCAGAUCUGUCAUAGGUAUGGUCAUGAAGCAUCUUACUGUUAUCAAAGGCACAAUGAUGACUAUGUUCCUACUCAGCCUAUGGAGUAUCCCAACCAGUAUCCUGAUCAGAAUCAGUCUCAGACCUCAGCCAACCCCAAUCAGUAUCAAAGUCUGAAUCAGAACUCUAACACCUAUCAGAAUCAGCAGUCUAAUCAGUACUCUGCUCAGCAUUCUCCACAGGCUUAUCUGACUGGUGUUCCUUCGGCCCCUUCUCCAAAAUGGUAUCCAGAUUCAGGGGCUUACCACCAUGUCACAAAUGUCUCCCAGAACAUUCAUCAGACCACUCCUUUUGAAGGCAAUUUACGGUCUCAAACAAGCCCCUAGAGUUUGGUUUGACAAAUUAAAGGCUACUCUUCUUAGGUUUCGGUUCAGGUCAAGCAAGUGUGACCCCUCUUUAUUUGUUUACAUAGAUUCCAAAAAUACUGUCAUCUAUAUGCUUGUGUAUAUGGAUGACAUUAUUUUUACAGGGAACAACCCCUCUUUCAUCAAAUCCCUAGUCACCAAACUCAAAUCUGAGUUCUGUCUUAAAGACCUAGGGAGUCUUGACUACUUCCUGGGAAUUGAAGUCAGACCUCAGCCCAAUGGUGCCCUCAUUCUCACACAGUCAAAGUACAUUCAGGAUUUGUUGGGGAAAACAAAAAUGGAUGAGGCCAAUCCAAUCUUUUUUUUUUUUGGAAGGCAGAAAAUAUAUAGUAUUAUUAAUAAGAGCAAUAGUACCAAAGGUACUUAAGUGAAAUUUACAACAGCAGCUAUGCUGCCAGCCUCCCAAAAAACACAUAUAAACCCAUCACAAGUCUCCACCAACAGACAAAAACACCCCAGAUUAACCAAAGGCCUCCACAAGGUUGGAAGACCAAUGAUUAAAAGGGAUAUUAAAUUCUUUAUCUCUAGCUUUAUACCAGGACCAAGCUAGGAAUAAGGCGUCAUCCAUCACUUUGGAAGAUACAAAAGGAAUACCCUGAAAAAUCAGUAAGUUCCUAUGCUUCCAAAUAGCAAAAGUUAAGGCAAUCCACCACCCACACCAUCUAGAAUGGUGUCUCCCUACAUUAAAACCAUCACAAAAUAAGCUGAAAUGACUUGCUGGAGAAACAGGGAAUGCUCCACUAGCAUGAAUCCACCUCAAAGAUUUCCACCACAGGCCAAUAGUUUGAGUGCAAUGGAAAAAAAGAUGGUCAGCCUCCUCCUGCUCCACAUGGCAAAGAGGGCAGAUAGCCUCCUGCAGGCCCAUAUUUCUUCUGUGGAGGUUAGCUCUAGUAGGGAGCCUAUCCUUUAUAAGCCUCCAAGUGAAAAUGGCAGCCUUUGGGGGGAUUUUUAAUUUCCAAAUAAGCUGAAAGUUCCUCCCAUCUGAGGCAAAACUAUUUAGAUUUGACAGAAGUCUAUAAGCUGAUCUAGUAGAGUACAUCCCAGUAGGAUCAGCUUUCCACAGUAAGUUAUCUUUCAGAUGACACUGAAUAGGAUAAGCACUGAUCUCUUCCAUGAAAGCCACAGCUACUCCCUCCUCAUGCUCGAAUAAGUGUCUCCUCCAUUUCAGAUCCCAUCUCCAAUUGUUCUGGUAGAAGCUACCCAUGUUUGAAAUGAGAUCAUUUUGCUGCUUACUAAUAAUGAAGAGCUGAGGAUAUUUCUGUUCCAAGUUGCAGUCCUCCCCCAGCCAGUUGUCUUUCCAAAAUCGAAUUUUAUCCCACAACCUGCCUUCCAAGCCAUGUUUUGAUGAAUAAUCUUGAAGUCAUUAUGCUGAUAUAUCUUCCUGAGGUCCCUCCACCAAUGAGAAUCCCCACAAUGAACUCUGCCAUUCUGCAAGACUGGCCAUCCUCCAUACUUGGAAUUUAGAACCCUGACCCAGAACUGAUUCUGUUUAGAGUAUAAAUCCCAAAUCCAUCUUCCCAUGAGAGCUGCAUUAAACUUAGACAGAUUCUUGAUUCCCAAACCCCUUUCCUUCUUGUGAAGACAUAUUUCAUCCCAUUUGACCCAAGGGAUCUUCUUUUGAUCAUGCUCCCCCCCCCACAUGAAAUUCCUUUGCAGAGAAACCAAUCUAUCAGCUAUUCUUUGAGGUAGUUUAAAGAAGGAUAAGAGAUAGAUUGGUAAAGCAUUCAAAACAGAAUUUAUCAAAGUGACCCUGCCAGCCAUAGAUAAGCUUUUCUGAUUCCAUUUAGUGAGUUUAGCUUCAAAUUUGCUGAGCAAAGGCUGCCAUAUCACCUGACUUGAGGAUUUGACCCCAAUUGGGAUACCCAAGUAGUGAAAGGGGACACCCAUCUGCCUACAAUUCAAAAACUGGGCAGCUUCAUGAGCCCAAUUAACAGAAUCCCCAAAGAUCCCAAACUGGCUUUUAGCAUAGUUAAUUUUCAGACCGGAGGCCAUCUCAAAGCCUCUAAGCAUUGCCUUCGAAACAAGAACAUUUUCCAAAGAAGCUUGACCAAUAAAGACAGUAUCAUCAGCAUAUUGGAGGAUAUUAAUAGGCUCUUUUUGUUUUCCCACCAAGUAGCUUCUAUAAAGAUUUUUCGAAAUGGCCUCUCUCAUCAAUCCAGUGAGACCUUCACCCACUAUAUUAACAGAAUUCUGUUAGUUAGUUUGUGAUUAGCUUCAAGGUCUAGAGGUUUAUAAAUACCUCCUUUGUAACUGCAUUAAAAACUAACUUUUUCAGAAUCAAUAAUAUCAGUUUUUCCUUUUUCUGUUCUCAAUGUUUUCUCUUAUUUUUUCUGUUCUCAAUGUUUUCUCUUAUUUUCUCUGUUCUCUCAGUUCUCUAAAUCUGAUACAAUCUCUUCUCCAAUGGUUGGAGGCUGCAAGUUAACUAAAUCAUGGUAUGAGCCUUUUCAUGAUCCCACACUAUACAGGUCUACUGUGGGGGCCUUGUAGUAUGCAACCAUCACUUGGCCAGAAAUCAGUUUUUCUGUUAACAAAGUCUGCCAGUACAUGUCAGACCCAUCAGAACAGCAUUGGGCAGCAGUAAAAAGGAUCCUCAGGUAUCUGGCAGGCACCAUCAAUUUUGGCUUGAAAUACUCCACUGGACCUCCAUUUGCAUUACAUGCCUACUGCGAUGCUGACUGGGCAUCUGACCCAGAUGACAGAAGGUCAACCUCUAGUGCAGCCGUCUUCUUUGGGUCCAAUUUAGUUUCUUGGUGGUCAAAGAAACAGUCUGUUGUUGCCAAGUCCAGUACAGAAGCCGAAUAUCGCAGUUUAGCUUUGGCCACAGCAGAGGUUACAUGGAUUAAAUCCCUUUUGUCUGAACUGCACAUUCCCCACCACUCUUCUGUCAUCUUCUGUGACAAUAUGAGCACUGUUGCCCUUGCUCACAAUCCGGUUAUGCACUCUCGUACCAAGCAUAUGGAACUGGAUCUUUCUUUGUCAGAGAAAAGGUUAUGGAUAAGCAACUUCAAGUCGUCCAUGUUCCUACCAUUGAUCAGAAAGCUGACAUUUUGACCAAGGCUUUAACUCCUCCUAAUUUUGCUACUUACAGAUCCAUGCUCAGAGUGGUUGAAAACUUUACUUCGACCCUCUCAUUAACUUGCGGGGGGUAUAGGAGUAUAUUUACUUCGACCAGUUUAUUGUGCUUUCAUAGUUAGUUAGUUAACUGACUAGAGUCAGUUGACAGUUUCAAGUGUGUAACUGUCUACAUAAAUUGAGGUGUAAUUGUUUCUCACUUGGGUUGAAUAUUAUAACCUUUCACCUCAAUUCUGUUUUUGAGAUUCUCUCUCUCUCAGAUUCGUUUAAGCGGCUCUAUCUUCUCCAGCACAUUUUCCAGUCAUCGCUGCAACUCUGGUGACUUCAAUCCUUUAUUACAAUAUGGUAUCGGAGCCAGCCUAUCAUUCCUUUCUCCUAGUAUACACCUUCCACUCCAUUUCCUGGGUUGGGCCUCUCUCAGCUAGGCCUACAUCCCUAACAAGAUAUCUCAAAAAUUAUCCUACAUGGGUUUGUCAAUACCCUUCAUCUUUCCUAGUUGUAUAACAAGAAGUAUUUUAUUUACCUUGUAUCCAAAUAACAUACCAUUCUAGUAGGAUUUUAUUGCCAAAAUAGCAAAAGGAUUUUACCUUGCUUGAUUGCAGGUACCAUAAGCAUCUGAACGGAUGUAGGUUUCCAACUCUACCUCAUCUUUGUAUACUCUACUAACUAGCUGCAUAUAGGAUCCAAAUUUUAGUUAGUUUGAGUCGAUGAACAGAGAACACACUUAUCUACUUAAUUCAAAAAGGAUAAAAGUUCUAAGAGAACUUGCUUGAAGAUGCAUUUAGCUACAUGAAGAUACUCCAAAAAUAAAAGAAGGGGAAAGUGGGGGACAAAGAAAUAAAGCUGACUUAAUUUUAAUUAAGUAGAGCAAUGACUUCUGUAUGCAUGGAAUCAGCCUUGUGAAUUUGCAACUGACUUCUUUCAUCUAUACUAAUAAUAAAGGGAAUACCCACAUUUGGUGUACACAAUUCAUUACACAAUUUUGUCCUUGAACCACUUCUUAAACUUCCAUUAUUCUUUUCUAAGCCACUGUAACUGCCCACUACUCUUUUAACCUCAGGAACAUUUUUCUUCUCUCUGCUUCUUUUAUUUUAUUUAAAAAAGUUUAGAGUCCCCCUAGCAAGUUAAAAUAACAAUCAUUGAAUUUUUUGUCAAAUUUUAUUCCUCUCUCAGAAAAAAAAAAUUAAAAGGCUGGUUUAAUGCUCUGAGAAGCCAAACUUUUCUAAGAAAAUAGCAGCUACUAGUUAACAAUUUAUUUUUAUACACUAGUUAACUUGUUUCAGAUACCUAGAUUAUUUUUUUACAAUAUGACAUGAUGUGUACUGGAUACAUUAACAAAAAUUUAUAGAAAAUUUUAUAUAGAUGCAAAAUAUUGGGUAAAGAAACAGACAUGGAUCAUUUAUCAUUAAUUCAUAACUACUCCAAUUCCUCACACAGCAUGAGGAACAACAUGGCUGCAAAAGAAGCUUUAAGACAAGCUUUUGGAGUAGAGGGUUAGAGGAUCUAUGCAUCACCCACCAAGUUUUUGGAACUAAUACUCAUCUAUCCUCGAUUGAAUCAAAAGAACAAAUUCACCCACACAAGAUGAGAAAUUAAAUAAUAAUUCAUAAACUUUUUUUCUCUCCUCAUCAUGUGGAAACUAUCUCUUUAGGGGAAAAAAUAUUAACAACGGAUACUUUUCGGAUACAUAUUUGGGAGUAUUUGAGUCAUAUCCCAACCAUAUCUCAAUAAAAUUAUAUAUAUAUAUAUAAGAUACUUUUCAGAUACGUAUCCGAGGAGUAUCGGUGUCCAACACAGGUACAACACCUAUAGUCCUAUACUUUUCCAUUUUAUGGAGUAUCCAGGCUUCGAAGUACAAACUUAAAGAGUGCAAAACAUAAAUUGUAUCUUAUGAUAGAUCUUUCUGAUUAUCACAAUCUCAACCUUUUAAUAACUUUUCUUAGAAUUAUUAGCUUAAAUGCACUUGAAUACCCAUGUUGGAAAAUACUUUUUCAUUGAAUUUUGUAUUCCAGAAAAACCCAGUGAAGGCAACUAAGAAGUCGAUAUUUCUCUUACAAGUCACAAGUGGCAAAAAGAAAGAUAAGAAAGGAACAACAGGCACAAAUAGAAUAGUUAAAGACACAUGGCUAAAAAAUUGAACAGCCAAAGAAGAGGUUUAAGUGUGCAAUUGUGCAUGACACUGAGAGAAACUGCAUUCAAGCACUCAACCAUAGUAAGGCUCAAGCUUGGAAGGGGGGUACAUUUCAUCAAUUUGGAGGAAUCAAAGCAAAAUAUUUCACCCACAUAUCAUGGAUAAACUAAGCUUAGAAAAUCAAAUAGUAUAAGACAAUGAAUGAAUGGGUACCUUCAAGAGUGGAAAUUUUAUUGAGACUACGUCUAUCAACAGCUUGGUCUCAUUGGUAUCUGGCGCAAAAGCUAAAUACUCUCCCCUAUCCAACAACGAUUGCAAAACUUGUUGAAAGUUGGGGGAUAUACCAUUGCCCACUUCCACAAACAUAUCUUUUUGAAUGUGCCUGCUCCAUUUCCACAUAAACUUUUACUCCUCACGAAAUACUAAAUUUGAAAAAUAUUCAAAAUUUCCCUCCAUAUAUUUUCGAAUCAAAAUCUCUCUCACAGAAGUUAUUUCCAUUUACUUUUUCUUUUACUUUCUAAAUAUAAGAGUAUUCAAAACUGAAAAUUUCUACUAAAAAAAUUAAAUUUAUAACCUUUUUCGGUUCUCCAUACAACAGGGGGAAAAGUAAAACACAAACAGAGAGCAAUGAAUAGAAACACUCACGGCUGAACUGGAUGAAUUUGUGUAUCCACUUUGGUCCUUACAGCUACUAACAGCAACAACACAAUCGUAGGGAGCAAAAUCUGCCAUGGAUUGAGUGAUACGCAUCAGAAAUUCCGGCAUUCACCAAUCCAUCUUCACAAAAUCGAAAUGGACAUGGAAGAGAAACAAACAAGCAAACAAACUAACACACACACAUACAAAACUCUAAAGGACUAAACACAUAAUUAAAAAAAAUGUUAAUGCCUAUAUAAUCUACAAUAGAAGAAACAUUACAUAACCGAAUAAAUCUUCAAAAAUUACCUUAAAGCUAAAAAAAAAAAGUCAACCUUUAAAAAAAAACAAAAAAGAAACUCAUAAAAACAGAAAAUUUAAGCAAAGAUAAUCGCACAAAAGAAAAAUACGGAAUCGGCCAAAUUAAGCAAAGGAUCAAAAUCAGAAAACAACAGAAAUAGAGUGAGAGAGUAAGGAGCAAGUGAUUGAGAAACAUGCAAAGGAAAGAGAAGGUUGAAAUUGAGAAGAACAGAAAAAUUGAGGAAAGGAAAAAGGGAGAUGACCUCGGCGGCAGUGACGAAGGGGUGGCGAAUCUUGAGGAGCCAGUUCUUGCGGAGCAUGACCUUCAACUGCCUCCACGCAGCUCCCAUGGCUGCGGCGAAACCCUAGAAGCAGACGCGAUAGGGUUCUAGUUCUUAGGGAAUGCGACGGAUAAGGAAAAAAGCGAAGGAAGGAAGGAAGGAGGAAGAGGUGUGCAGUGUAGUACUCUUCACGUUGAAAUCGCAAUUUGGCUGUAGUGGCAGAGAGAAAAAGGUGCGCAAGUUUAUAAUAACUAAACGGAAAAUACCAAGACCCACCAACGCCUCCAAUUAUUUCUUUUUCCUAUUAUUAAUAUUAUUUUUUUCGAGACUCAAAGAAUUGUAGAGGUACAAUUACCAUUAAUAACAGUAUUCCUUUUGAAAUAUGACUUCUAUGCUUAACUAAACUUUGUUGGUUUUAUUAAUUUAUCAUUGUCUAUGUGUGAAUUAUGCCGUGCCAAAGGAAACAAAAUAACGGUGUUCUGAUCGGAUAAGUUCAGGGAUAUUUAAAUAGUAUUUAUUUAUUUACUAUAUUUGUGAGUUUCGGAAUAAUAGAGGGAAAUUAAUUAAUAAUUAAUGAAAGUGUUUUUUAGUAGGGUAAGGCGGUGGGGUAGCGUCUGUUACUUGUCACGACUUCGAGACUUGGCGCGCCGGUGACGUCUUCUCUUCUCGCGAGAAACAAACAAACCAAAGAAUAAAAGCAGUGUUAUCUUCUUACAGUCUCAGAGAGGCUGCUACAAAAACCAAUAAAGAUAUUUUUAUUUUUUAUUCGAGAUUCUUUUUAUUUAUUCACAGGUUUUUUUCUUGAUAGAUUGCACACGUUGACUGGUUCUUUUUUAGUUUACUACAGCAUUUACGAAUUUAAUAGCUGAUGUUUUUAAUUUCAUUUUUUGUCUUAAUCUAUUUAUUUAGUUUUUUAAUCUAUUUCAACUUUUGGGGCAUAAGCUUGUCUGUUUGUGCAAAUAAAAGAAUAUAUAUUUGCAUUACAUUUCAGAAUAAUAACAAGCUUCAUUAGUCAUUAGUUCCGAUUGGUACAACUUCAUACCACCGUGGUCAGAAAAAAUUAAUAAUAAUAACAGACUUCAAAUACACUUCACACCUAAUAUAUUUUUCUAUUUGCUCUCAAACGACAACUUUGUUAAUUAAAUAUCUAUCAUAUAUUCAUAUGCUAUCAUUAGUGCAUCUGUAAGCCAAAUAUGUUAUACCGAAUCUUAAAUAUGCUUCGGUCAUUAAUUAAAACAUAUAUCAAAAAGUGUUUAAUUCAGUUCAUUAAACAUGUCUAAAUAUUAUAAUUUUUUUAUAUUAUCUUUUAUUCUUAUAGAUAAAAAAAAAUACGUGUUAGGUAGAAAACAAAAGAUUUUUGGAGCACUGGGACAGGAAAAUAAUAACACAUUUUUGUUUGUUUAAUAUUUUGGUAAAAUUAAUUUUGAGAAAAAUAAAGUUCUGAACUGUGUUUGAUGGUGAUAUUUUAAAAACAAAUUUGAAACAGUUAAUUGUUUUUUAUAACAAGAUAGUAUGACUUUUUAAAUAUAAAAAAUAUAUUUGCAUUUUAUAAAUUUCAGAUCUAAAAUCAACUUUAUUUAUAAAAAUGUUUCUCUCAAAAUCAGUUAUUCUUUCUUCUUCGAUAACUUCAAUGAUUCUAACUAGUAUAGAAUUAAUAUUUUCCACAUUAAAUUUACUAAACACAACAAGUAUUGUAGAAUUGCAAAUCAAGGUUUGAGGCAGCAAACGGCCUUUUCGGUAUGUAACCAAAAGUGAGAACCAUUAAUUGGUUUGUACCAUUAAGAACAUUCAACAAAAUAAGCCCCACAAGUCCUUUUCUAUAUGACCAUAUGACCCAUCUGGUGAAAUGACUGAAAUCAUCAAUAUAUUUAUAAGCAUUUGGUGCAGGUUGUAAUGGUCCACCAAAAACAAAAACUAUUUUUUUUUAUUAUUCUUGUUACUAUGUUAGAUUAGAUUUCCCUGUUGCUUUUUAUGCAUCAUUUAUAUUUUUAUUAAACUGUACAUAUGUUAUAUAAUUUAGGAUUACUGAUUUUUUAGUAAAACAUACUGUCAAAAAAAAAAAAGUCUUUUAUUGAUAAUUUAUCACGUCUGAUCGGUUGUUUUAUAAUACCGUGAUGAUUAGAAUUUGGAGGGGAUUGGAUGAGAAGAAACAAACAUUCUCCAAUUUGUCAAUCUUUAGUGCAAGUUGCAUUAUGAGUAUGAUGUCCCCUCCUUAUCUUCAAACAUUUCUUCUUUUUUUUUUAAUCUUCAAACGUUGAACUCUAAACGAGUCUUAAUUUUUUGUCUAAAAAAAAGAAGAUGGGGUUUCAUUUCUUCAUUUUUGCUAACGAUAAAUUAAUGAUAAUAAAAAAACAGUGAGAAUAUGAAUUG
rnacentral:lncRNA from 1 species